rnacentral:rRNA from 1 species
GACGAACGCUGGCGGCGUGCUUAACACAUGCGAGUCGAACGGAAAGGCCCUGCUUUUGUGGGGUACUCGAGUGGCAAACGUGUGAGCAAGACGUGGGUAGCCUGACCUCAACUUUGGGAUAACGUCAGGACACUGGGGCUAAUACCGGAUAAGGGGUCAUGCUCCAUGGGGGGGGUUGGAAAGUUUCGGCCGUGGUGGAUGGACUCGAGGCUUAUCAGCUUGUUGGUGGGGGAGUGGCUGAGCAGGGCUUUGACGGGUAGGCGGCCUGAGAGGGUGACCGGCCACAAUGCGACUGCGAUGCCGCGCAGCCUCCUACGGGGGGCAGCAGUGGUGAAUAUUGCUCAAUGGGCGGAAGCCUGAUGAAGCAGCGCUGCGUGCGGGAUGAAGGCCUUCGGCUUGUCAACCGCUUUCGCCUGUGACGAAGCGGCAGUGACGGUAUCUGGUGAAGAAGCACCGGCUAACUCCGUG